GAUGAACGCUGGCGGUAUGCUUAACACAUGCAAGUCGAACGAACUCUUCGGAGUGAGUGGCGGACGGGUGAGUAACGCGUGAGAAUCUGCCUCCGGGUUCGGGACAACAGUUGGAAACGACUGCUAAUACCGGAUGUGCCUAAGGGUAAAAGAUUAAUUGCCUGGAGAUGAGCUCGCGUUGGAUUAGCUUGUUGGUGAGGUAAGAGCUCACCAAGGCGACGAUCUAUAGCUGGUCUGAGAGGACGAUCAGCCACACUGGGACUGAGACACGGCCCAG
rnacentral:rRNA from 1 species